UUAUUAUAGCACCGGUCGAUGGGAGACGACUCGUGGGUGGCAUGUGUGGGUUUACUGACUGGUUGCCUUCACCCAAAACGAUCACGUUCUCGUGAUGCCUGUGGCAGAAAGGAUGUUCCACAUCCGCCGGAAAGGUCAUGGGCAAGUAUGCGAACCUGGACCCAAAAACUAUGGUG